AAAAUCUUAAAAAUCAAUUUUUCUUCAAAUUAUAACAUUUUUCAAAUAAGGUUUAAUAUUGAAUUUGUUUUAUGAUGGAUGAUAUGAUGGAUGAUGGGAGGACAAGCAAGCUUUCAACCUUUUGGCCCAUCACGGAGUUAAUGGGUAGAUAAUAGUUGAUGAGAUGGAAGGAAAGGGUUUUUGACAAAACCAACCACGUAAAAAAAAAAACUAAUCAAUAUUUUACACAUUCGGACUAAAAUAUCUUUAUUUAUUUGUUUAUUUAUUUUUUGUUUUUGGUUUUCCUUUUAUCUAUUUUCCCUUUGAAAACGUAGCUAGGGCUUUCCGAAAAAGACCAUCCCGGUCGCUAUUUUCACCGAAAUUCUCCUCCCUUCGUCGACGUCGUACUCGCUCAUCGUUGUUUCGACAAGAGUCGUUCGUUUGAGAGCCACCCAGAGACAGAGGAGAGACACCAAAGGCAAAGCCUUCUCAUACCGUUCGCCGUCGUCGUCGUCGUCCUCGCACCACCGUCGUCUCGUUCGUCGUCGUCGUCCUUACACCACUGUCGUCCCACCAGGAGCUAAUCGUCACCACAGCUGCAGCUUUACUUUAGCUUACAGAGAUGAAGUGAGAAGAAACGGCGGGCCAAACUUAUCGCGCAGUCGAGAAACCUCUCUCUGAAAGCACCACCGGUGAGGUCUCUUACUCCUUCUCCUUCUCCUCUCGUGAUCAGCAAAUUUUUUUUUUUUUUUUUUUUUAUAUGAUGUGGGGCUUUUUGAAAAGAUGGGAUUUGAUAUUAUAAUGGAAAAUGCCGGAGUGGGUCUUAAUCUGAUGCUCAACCACAUUUGCAGAUAGAUUACAGCAUGAGUGGAGACUGUGUUUUUUAAUUUCUACGUUUUUUUGGUUUUGUGAUUAAUAGGUACUGAUUUUAUGUUGUUAUGUGGUAUUGAGAGUUUCAGCUUGUGAGUGGGCGGGAAUUACAUUGUAGUUUGUAUGCUUUUGGGAUUUUUCUUGCUGUGCUAAUUUGACUGAGUAAUAACUGUAAUAUAAUGUAUGUAUAAUAUAUUAUGAUAUAUGUUGUUAAAUCUUGUUUUGGUUUUUGCAAUUUUGAAUCAUUUGAAUGAUGAUGAACCUCAAUUUAUUUUAUUUUAUUUUCUUUUUCUUUUUCAUCUUUCUAGUGUUCAAUUGUGGUUAUUGUAUGAUUACUUUAUGUUUGCUAUGCAAGAAAACAUAUUAUGAAUCAUGUGCAAAUGCAAUCAGGCAUUCCAUAAGAGCCCAUUCUCCUUUGGACCCUUGCCUGCCUUACUAGCUCUAGUGUUAUGGGCAUGCCCCACUAGUGGAUUCAGUCCUUUCGCUUCUAUAAAGAGAGUGGUUGUAACAUCAUCCUUUGCUUCAGUUGCCGCCAAUGGAAAACCUCUUACUCCUGAUGUGGUAGUUGAUGAGACAUGGUUUUCAGAUUUUGUAUAUUGUGAGCAGCAGAAGGUGCAUACUUACAUGUUAAAGUGUUUUUAUUGUAAUCUCUUUCCAAGUUUCUUGUUAGUUUACUUCACUGGGAUAUCUUACAUAAUAAACAUAUUUUUAGAUACCAUUUAUUAGAAAUUUAUAGUUAAUGAUUUUUUUUAGUGAAAAAAGGAAAAAAGUAUAAAUCUUGUAUCAUUCUAUUUA